UAAAGGAUUGCUGGAAAAUAAAUCAG
rnacentral:piRNA from 1 species